rnacentral:rRNA from 1 species
AACGAACGCUGGCGGCAUGCCUAACACAUGCAAGUCGAACGAGACCUUCGGGUCUAGUGGCGCACGGGUGCGUAACGCGUGGGAACCUGCCCUUAGGUUCGGAAUAACUCCCCGAAAGGGGUGCUAAUACCGGAUAAUGUCUUCGGACCAAAGAUUUAUCGCCUUUGGAUGGGCCCGCGUUGGAUUAGCUAGUUGGUAGGGUAAAAGCCUACCAAGGCGACGAUCCAUAGCUGGUCUGAGAGGAUGAUCAGCCACACUGGGGCUGAGACACGGCCCAGACUCCUACGGGAGGCAGCAGUGGGGAAUAUUGGACAAUGGGCGAAAGCCUGAUCCAGCAAUGCCGCGUGAGUGAUGAAGGCCUUAGGGUUGUAAAGCUCUUUACCCGGGAUGAUAAUGACAGUACCGGGAGAAUAUGCGCCGGCUAACUCCGUG